rnacentral:rRNA from 1 species
GACGAACGCUGGCGGCGUGCUUAACACAUGCAAGUCGAACGGUAAGGCCCUUCGGGGUAUACGAGUGGCGAACGGGUGAGUAACACGUGGGUGAUCUGCCCUGCACUUUGGGAUAAGCCUGGGAAACUGGGUCUAAUACCGGAUAGGACCACGGCCUGCAUGGGUUGUGGUGGAAAGCUUUUGCGGGGUGGGAUGGGCCGGCGGCCUAUCAGCUUGUUGGUGGGGUGAUGGCCUACGAAGGCGACGACGGGUAGCCGGCCUGAGAGGGUGUCCGGCCACACUGGGACUGAGAUACGGCCCAGACUCCUACGGGAGGCAGCAGUGGGGAAUAUUGCACAAUGGGCGCAAGCCUGAUGCAGCGACGCCGCGUGGGGGAUGACGGCCUUCGGGUUGUAAACCUCUUUCACCAGGGACGAAGCGCAAGUGACGGUACCUGGAGAAGAAGCACCGGCCAACUACGUGCAGCAGCCGCCGCCGUAA